rnacentral:lncRNA from 1 species
CUACAACCAAAGGAGCUGAUCUCGCGAGACUUAAAAGCGACGGUUAAAGGACCGGGUGGCCGGUGGGAUGAGGAUGUCUUCAUCCGAAAAAUCUUGUUUCCUGUAUGACAGUGUGUCCAUGAGAUCAAAUUGCCAACAUCCACUGGAUCAUCGAAAAAGCAAGAGAGUUCCAGAAAAACAUCUAUUUCUGCUUUAUUGACU